rnacentral:rRNA from 1 species
AUGGGUGCUCACGGAGAUCGCCGCCGCCACCGCCGCGAAGAGGUGGGGGUGCUAUUGGACGAAGAGGAGGAGGAACUCGAGCACCACGCCAGGGCUUGCGGUGGCGCCACGAGUGGGCUGGUGGAUCAAGAAUUGGGUGGCUGCCAAGAAGGUGGAGGGGGCAUGGUGUUUGAAGCUAGCAGUAGCGUGGGGAGCGUGAGUGCGACCAUGGGCCCGCCCCCGAUCAUGUGCUGGCCGCCGCCGGCCCCGUCGCUGUCGCCGCAGGAGCCACUCCACGGCGCGAUCCACCACCACCACAACAUAGGCAUCGGCGGCCAGGGCCCCUUCUUCCCGUUGCUGCCGCCGCUGCCCCCGCAGCCACCUCCGCCGCCGCCCUUCUUAGCCGACUUGUACGCCCGGCGCGCGCUCCAGUUCGCCUACGACCACUCGGGCGGCGCGUCGUCCUCGUCCGACCCGCUCGGCUUCGGCGCCGGGCUCUACAUGGGGCACCACGGCUCCCCCGUCCACGGGAUGAUGAUGGCCCCGCCCUUCGGCGCGUCGCCGUUCAGCGACUUCGGCCGGAUGACCGCGCAGGAGAUCAUGGACGCCAAGGCGCUGGCCGCGUCCAAGAGCCACAGCGAGGCCGAGCGUCGCCGCCGCGAGCGCAUCAACUCGCACCUGGCCCGCCUCCGCAGCCUCCUCCCCAACACAACCAAGACGGACAAGGCGUCGCUGCUGGCGGAGGUGAUCCAGCACGUCAAGGAGCUCAAGCGGCAGACGUCGGAGAUCAGGGAGGAGGCGUGCCCGCUCCCCACCGAGGCCGACGAGCUCACCGUCGAUGCCUCCAGCGACGAGGACGGCCGCCUGCUCGUGCGCGCCUCGCUCUGCUGCGACGACCGCCCCGACCUCCUGCCGGACCUCAUCCGCGCGCUCAAGGCGCUCCGCCUGCGCGCGCUCAAGGCCGAGAUCACCACCCUCGGCGGCCGCGUCAAGAACGUGCUCGUCGUCACUGAGGACGACAGCAUCGCGUGCGACGGGGACCAGCAGGACGAGGACGGGAACAUGCAGGCGCCCAUGUCGCCGCAGCACGCCGUCGCGUCCAUCCAGGAGGCGCUCAGGGCGGUCAUGGAGCGCACGUCGUCGUCGUCCGGCGCCGAGGACUCCGGGGGCUCGGCCAGCGGCGGGCUCAAGCGGCAGCGCACCACCAGCCUCUCGGCGAUCCUAGAGAACAGGUCCAUCUAG